AUACGGAGGGUGCGAGCGUUGUUCGGAAUCACUGGGCGUAAAGGGCGCGCAGGCGGUUUUACAAGUCAGAUGUGAAAGCCCACGGCUCAACCGUGGAAGUGCAUUUGAAACUGUAAGACUUGAGUAUCAGAGGGGAAGGUGGAAUUCCCGGUGUAGAGGUGAAAUUCGUAGAUAUCGGGAGGAAUACCGGUGGCGAGGGCGACUUUCUGGCUGAAUACUGACGCUGAGGCGCGAAAGCGUGGGGAGCAAACAGGAUUAGAAACCCCAGUAGUCC
rnacentral:rRNA from 1 species